CCUACGGGUGGCUGCAGUGGGGAAUAUUGGGCAAUGGAGGCAACUCUGACCCAGCAACGCCGCGUGAAUGAUGAAGGUCUUCGGAUUGUAAAGUUCUGUGAUGGGGGAUGAACACAAUGACGGUACUCCAAUAGCAAGCCACGGCUAACUACGUGCCAGCGGCCGCUGCAAUCCGUAGGUGGCAAGCGUUAUCCGGAUGGACUGGGCGUAAAGGGUGCGUAGGUGGUUUGGUAAGUUGGCGGUGUAAUUCCGGGGCUCAACCUCGACGCUACCGCAAAAACUAGUAGACUAGAGUGCAGGAGAGGUAAGUGGAAUUCCUGGUGUAGCGGUGAAAUGCGUAGAUAUUAGGAGGAACAUCGGGGGCGAAGGCGACUUACUGGACUGUAACUGACACUGAGGCACGAAAGCGUGGGGAGCAAACAGGAUUAGAUACCCGUGUAGUC
rnacentral:rRNA from 1 species